rnacentral:rRNA from 1 species
CAUUGUAGCAAUACAAGGCAGACGGCUCAGUAACGCGUAGUCAACCUACCCUAUGGACGGGAAUAACCUCGGGAAACUGAGUAUAAUGCCCGAUAGAACACUAUACCUGGAAUGGUUUGUGUUCCAAAUGAUUUAUCGCCGUAGGAUGGGACUGCGGCCUAUCAGUUUGUUGGUGAGGUAAUGGCCCACCAAGACUAUUACAGGUACGGGCUCUGAGAGGAGUGGCCCGGAGAUGGGUACUGAGACACGGACCCAGGCCCUAUGGGGCGCAGCAGGCGAGAAAACUUUGCAAUGUGCGAAAGCACGACAAGGUUAAUCCGAGUGGUUUGUGCUAAACGAACCUUUUGUCAGUCCUAGAAACACUAACGAAUAAGGGGUGGGCAAGUUCUGGUGUCAGCCGCCGCGGUAAAACCAGCACCUCAAGUGGUCAGGAUGAUUAUUGGGCCUAAAGCAUCCGUAGCCGGGUCAGUAAGUUUUCGGUUAAAUCUGUACGCUCAACGUACAGGCUGCCGGGAAUACUGCAGAGCUAGGGAGUGGGAGAGGUAGACGGUACUCGGGAGGAAGUGGUAAAAUGCUUUGAUCUUUCGAUGACCACCUGUGGCGAAGGCGGUCUACCAGAACACGUCCGACGGUGAGGGAUGAAAGCUGGGGGAGCAAACCGGAUUAUAUACCCGGGUAGUCCCAGCUGUAAACUAUGCAAACUCAGUGAUGCAUUGGCUU